AAUCCAUAGGUUAAUGAGGCGAACCGGGGGAACUGAAACAUCUAAGUACCCCGAGGAAAAGAAAUCAACCGAGAUUCCCCCAGUAGCGGCGAGCGAACGGGGAGGAGCCCAGAGCCUGAAUCAGCAUGUGUGUUAGUGGAAGCGUCUGGAAAGGCGCGCGAUACAGGGUGACAGCCCCGUACACAAAAGCGCAUGUGCUGUGAGCUCGAUGAGUAGGGCGGGACACGUGGUAUCCUGUCUGAAUAUGGGGGGACCAUCCUCCAAGGCUAAAUACUCCUGACUGACCGAUAGUGAACCAGUACCGUGAGGGAAAGGCGAAAAGAACCCCGGCGAGGGGAGUGAAAAAGAACCUGAAACCGUGUACGUACAAGCAGUGGGAGCCCCACCACCAAAGCAUUUGCUGUACCGCGUUGACGGAGCGAAGCGACGUCAAACCGAUAAAACAGCAGUGUAAAGUGAGCCGCAGGGCGCUUUGCGCGACAGCGCAAAGGCA
rnacentral:rRNA from 2 species